rnacentral:rRNA from 1 species
AUCGAUGAAGAACGUAGCGAAAUGCGAUACUUGGUGUGAAUUGCAGAAUCCCGUGAACCAUCGAGUCUUUGAACGCAAGUUGCGCCCGAGGCUAUCUGGCCGAGGGCACGCCUGCCUGGGCGUCAUGCCU